UGGAUGGGUGAGCAGCUGGCCGAUGCGGGCGGUUCGGGACGCUUGAAGCAAUCCCGUGCAGUCUCUGACGUCUUUGGUUGCUGUUGUUGUUGUUGUUGUUGUGGUUGUGAAAAUGCUG